UACGUAGGGUGCGAGCGUUGUCCGGAAUUAUUGGGCGUAAAGAGCUCGUAGGCGGUGUGUCACGUCAUUCGUGAAAACCUGCAGCUUAACUGUGGGCGUGCGGUCGAUACGGGCAUCACUGGAGUUCGGCAGGGGAGGACUGGAAUUCCUGGUGUAGCGGUGAAAUGCGCAGAUAUCAGGAGGAACACCGGUGGCGAAGGCGGGUCUCUGGGCCGAUACUGACGCUGGAGGAGCGAAAAGCGUGGGGGAGCGAACAGG
rnacentral:rRNA from 1 species